rnacentral:lncRNA from 1 species
GAGGUUAAAGGGGCCCUGAACCACCCGUCGGGCUUGGUGAAAUGACAUAUAGUCCGCGGGUGGUAUACGCUGCUGUGAACAUCUCAGCCAAGUUUUGCUGUCGUGCAUGAUCUAUGGAG